UGCCCUGGGAGUGUAAAUAUUGG
rnacentral:miRNA from 1 species